GCAGAAAGAAGGCGACAGCUGGCAGAGAAAUACGCGCUGACUCUGCAUCCCAAGGCCGACUCUGAGUAUCCCGCUAUACCAAGUCCAGGAAGGAGCCUGAUGCUGUCGAGAAACGAGGAGGAAAAAGUGACAAACAGGAAGAGUCAAGCAGAGAUGCGAGUUCUCCGUACCCCAGGACCGAGACAAUGGGGCUCAGGACCUGUGCAGGUGAAUCCAAGGACUAUGCCCUCCGUGGGGGUGACGGUGCUUCCGACCCGGAGGUGCUGCUGAACGUAGAAAACCAAAGACGAGGUCAAGAGCUGAGUGCCACCCGGCAGGCCCAUGACCUGUCCCCAGCAGCAGAGAGUUCCUCAACCUUCUCUUUGUCUGGGCGAGACUCCUCCUUCACCGAAGUGCCACGGUCCCCAAAGCACGUGCACAGCUCCUCCCUGCAGCAGGCGGCCCCCCGGAGCCCCUCCUUCGGUGACCCACAGCUAUCCCCUGAGGCCCGACCCAGCAAAUCACGGGUGGAGAGGUCGGCCGAAGGACCUGGCUUGCCCACCAGUGUGGAACGGGAGAGAGGGUCCCGGAAACCAAGACGCUAUUUUUCUCCUGGUGAAAGUAGAAAAACUUCCGAGAGAUUUGCAACCCAACCUGUAACUUCAGAAGAACGAAAGGAAUCAGAUAGGUAGGCACGCGUAUGUGCGGUUUCCUGGUCCAGGAACAUGGCAAUGACACAGGAGUUUUACCACACUGAUGGCCUUGAUGCUAUUUAUAUAGGAUGUUGGCGAUUCCAUAAUUCUUCCAUCUAAUCUAUAAGCAUUAUUUAUUUGGCUUACUUAAAAGUCUUUUUAAAGAAUGUUAGCCUUUACAGUGGUAUUAUGAUACAUACACAAUUUUACGUUGCAUUCAGAUAAG
rnacentral:lncRNA from 10 species